UACGGAGGAUGCAAGCGUUAUCCGGAUUUAUUGGGUUUAAAGGGUGCGUAGGCGGACCCUUAAGUCAGCGGUGAAAUACCCCGGCUCAACCGGGGGGCUGCCGUUGAUACUGGGGGUCUCGAGGGCGAACGGCGCCGGCGGAAUGUGUCAUGUAGCGGUGAAAUGCAUAGAUAUGACACAGAACACCGAUCGCGAAGGCAGCUGGCGAGGACGCGACUGACGCUGAGGCACGAAGGUGCGGGGAUCAAAC
rnacentral:rRNA from 1 species